UGGCGGCGUGCCUAAACAUGCAAGUCGAACGAGAAAGCGGGGGCAACUCCGUGAGUAAAGUGGCGACCGGGUGAGUAACACGUGACUAACCUACCCUUAGAGUGGGGGAUAACCUCGGGAAACCGGGGCUAAUACCGCAUAACAUCGCGAGGUGAAAUUCUUUGUGAUCAAAGGAGCAAUUCGCUCAAGGAGGGGGUCGCGGCUGAUUAGCUAGUUGGUGAGGUAACGGCUCACCAAGGCGAUGAUCAGUAGCCGGCCUGAGAGGGCGCACGGCCACACUGGAACUGAAACACGGUCCAGACUCCUACGGGAGGCAGCAGUGGGGAAUUUUGCGCAAUGGGGGAAACCCUGACGCAGCAACGCCGCGUGGAGGAUGAAGUCCCUUGGGAUGUAAACUCCUUUCGAUCGGGACGAUAAUGACGGUACCGGAAGAAGAAGCACCGGCUAACUCUGUGCCAGCAGCCGCGGUAAUACAGAGGGUGCAAGCGUUGUUCGGAAUUAUUGGGCGUAAAGGGCGCUAUGCGGUGCGGUAAGUUUGUGGUGAAAUCU
rnacentral:rRNA from 1 species